UAACGCGAAGAACCUUACCAGGUCUUGACAUACUAUGCAAAUCUAAGAGAUUAGACGUUCCCUUCGGGGACAUGGAUACAGGUGGUGCAUGGUUGUCGUCAGCUCGUGUCGUGAGAUGUUGGGUUAAGUCCCGCAACGAGCGCAACCCUUAUUAUCAGUUGCCAGCAUUAAGUUGGGCACUCUGGUGAGACUGCCGGUGACAAACCGGAGGAAGGUGGGGAUGACGUCAAAUCAUCAUGCCCCUUAUGACCUGGGCUACACACGUGCUACAAUGGAUGGUACAACGAGUUGCGAACUCGCGAGAGUAAGCUAAUCUCUUAAAGCCAUUCUCAGUUCGGAUUGUAGGCUGCAACUCGCCUACAUGAAGUCGGAAUCGCUAGUAAUCGCGGAUCAGCAUGCCGCGGUGAAUACGUUCCCGGGUCUUGUACACACCGAA
rnacentral:rRNA from 2 species